AUUGAACGCUGGCGGCAGGCCUAACACAUGCAAGUCGAGCGGCAGCGCGGGGGCAACCCUGGCGGCGAGCGGCGGACGGGUGAGGAAUGCAUCGGAAUCUACCUCGUUGUGGGGGAUAACCUCGGGAAACCGGGACUAAUACCGCAUACGACCUACGGGUGAAAGUGGGGGACCUUCGGGCCUCACGCGAUGAGAUGAGCCGAUGCCGGAUUAGCUAGUUGGCGGGGUAAAGGCCCACCAAGGCGACGAUCCGUAGCUGGUCUGAGAGGAUGAUCAGCCACACUGGAACUGAGACACGGUCCAGACUCCUACGGGAGGCAGCAGUGGGGAAUAUUGGACAAUGGGCGCAAGCCUGAUCCAGCCAUGCCGCGUGUGUGAAGAAGGCCUCGGUUGUAAG
rnacentral:rRNA from 1 species